rnacentral:rRNA from 1 species
UACACGACCGUACCGCAAACCGACACUGGUGCGCGAGAUGAGUAUUCUAAGGCGCUUGAGAGAACUCAGGAGAAGGAACUCGGCAAAUUGACACCGUAACUUCGGAAGAAGGUGUGCCUUUAGUAGGUGAAGGGAUUUACUCCUGGAGCCCAAUGAGGUUGCAAAAAAUCGGUGGCUGCGACUGUUUAUUAAAAACACAGCACUCUGCAAACACGAAAGUGGACGUAUAGGGUGUGACGCCUGCCCGGUGCUGGAAGAUUAAAUGAUGGGGUGCAAGCUCUUGAUUGAAGUCCCAGUAAACGGCGGCCGUAACUAUAACGGUCCUAAGGUAGCGAAAUUCCUUGUCGGGUAAGUUCCGACCUGCACGAAUGGCGUAACGAUGGCCACACUGUCUCCUCCUGAGACUCAGCGAAGUUGAAAUGUUUGUGAUGAUGCAAUCUCCCCGCGGAAAGACGGAAAGACCCCAUGAACCUUUACUGUAGCUUUGUAUUGGACUUUGAACAGAUCUGUGUAGGAUAGGUGGGAGGCUUUGAAGCAGGGUCGCUAGAUCUUGUGGAGCCAACGUUGAAAUACCACCCUGGUGUGUUUGAGGUUCUAACCUAGGCCCGUAAUCCGGGUUGGGGACAGUGCAUGGUAGGCAGUUUGACUGGGGCGGUCUCCUCCCAAAGUGUAACGGAGGAGUUCGAAGGUACGCUAGUUACGGUCGGACAUCGUGACGAUAGUGCAAUGGCAUAAGCGUGCUUAACUGCGAGACUGACAAGUCGAGCAGAUGCGAAAGCAGGACAUAGUGAUCCGGUGGUUCUGUAUGGAAGGGCCAUCGCUCAACGGAUAAAAGGUACUCUGGGGAUAACAGGCUGAUACCGCCCAAGAGUUCAUAUCGACGGCGGUGUUUGGCACCUCGAUGUCGGCUCAUCUCAUCCUGGGGCUGUAGCCGGUCCCAAGGGUAUGGCUGUUCGCCAUUUAAAGAGGUACGUGAGCUGGGUUUAAAACGUCGUGAGACAGUUUGGUCCCUAUCUUCCGUGGGCGCUGCAGAUUUGAGGAAGCCUGCUCCUAGUACGAGAGGACCGGAGUGGACGCACCUCUGGUGUAUCGGUUGUCACGCCAGUGGCAUUGCCGAGUAGCUAUGUGCGGAAGAGAUAACCGCUGAAAGCAUCUAAGCGGGAAACUCGUUUCAAGAUGAGAUCUGCCGGGGCCUUGAGCCCCCUGAAGAGUCGUUCAAGACCAGGACGUUGAUAGGUCGGGUGUGGAAGCGCAGUAAUGCGUUAAGCUAACCGAUACUAAUUGCUCGUGCGGCUUGGCCCC